CCCCGCCCGCCCGUCCCCCCUGUCCCCCCUCUUGCAACUUUCACAGAAUUUCAGAUUCAUGCACUUCAACUGCACGCAGGAGCCGUAUGAGGUCUUUCGCAUCGCGGAUGGAUACGACGCUUUAUCGGGAGUGCCGCGGCUAGUCCGGUGCGGUCAUCGAGCGGCUCCACCCGGACGAAGUGCCGCGCGUCACUAAUAGGUGUCUAGUCCGGGAUGUGAACCUCCUACACGAGCUGUUUGUUCAACCUUUGGAUUGAUUUUACCUCCAGGUGUUUCAAUUAAAAAGCGCAUCCAUUAGGGCAUCACGCACAAGUUUUAAGUGCCCCUCCCGCAGUGAAUCAAAUGGAUCAAUGAACUAUUCUUGUAAAUGUCGUCACCUAAAGAGCUCCUCCAGGAAGGAAGCUGAAAAGUGGCAGACGGAUAACGGCCCGCUGGCUCUGUGUGUGUUGUCUGGUCGCAGAGGGCAGACAGACGGACAGGAUGCGCUCCCCGGGGACCCCGAGAGGCCCCCAGAGCGACAGACAUCCGCAUCUCUGCGACCUCGGGCGUGCAUACAAGAAGAAAAGAAAGGAGAAAAAAAACACUGUGAGGAACUUCGUUUACUCAAGACUGCCAAAACGUCUGAUCGGGUGAUUUCAGAGGUUAAAUCUAAUUUUAUACUAAUUAAA
ensembl:lncRNA